rnacentral:rRNA from 1 species
UAGGGAAUCUUCGGCAAUGGGGGCAACCCUGACCGAGCAACGCCGCGUGAGUGAAGAAGGUUUUCGGAUCGUAAAGCUCUGUUGUAAGAGAAGAACGAGUGUGAGAGUGGAAAGUUCACACUGUGACGGUAACUUACCGGAAAGGGACGGCUAACUACGUGCCAGCAGCCGCGGUAAUACGUAGGUCCCGAGCGUUAUCCGGAUUUAUUGGGCGUAAAGCGAGCGCAGGCGGUUAGAUAAGUCUGAAGUUAAAGGCUGUGGCUUAACCAUAGUACGCUUUGGAAACUGUUUAACUUGAGUGCAGAAGGGGAGAGUGGAAUUCCAUGUGUAGCGGUGAAAUGCGUAGAUAUAUGGAGGAACACCGGUGGCGAAAGCGGCUCUCUGGUCUGUAACUGACGCUGAGGCUCGAAAGCGUGGGGAGCAAACAGGAUUAGAUACCCUGGUAGUCCACGCCGUAAACGAUGAGUGCUAGGUGUUGGGUCCUUUCCGGGACUCAGUGCCGCAGCUAACGCAUUAAGCACUCCGCCUGGGGAGUACGACCGCAAGGUUG